AAACCGUUCGAAGCGAAGCGAAUAAAGAAGGCAAUUCGCCCCGUCCGAUUCAGUCGCGUGCGGUUCGGUUGCGUGCCCGAUCUCGAUCUUCCGGGACGAAUCGUGCACCUCCUGCCACCGUUCGCGGCGCACUUCGGUUGGGCGAGCGUCAACGUCGGUAGACGUACGAGCGAAAAGUUGCGAGAACGGUAGGUCCUUUGGGGCCGGUAAGCCUCGCAACCAUCUAACUCGUACUCCACCGAGGCGGCAGCAUCGCGCGCCUCUGGCUGAUGUUCUGUGUCGUAGUGUCGGGUGUGGAACGUGGCGGACGGCUUUGCCUGUGCGCUCGAUCCGCCACCGUGCAACGGCGCGUCGAACAUACACCAAGCGUUGAUGAGGACGUUUGACGAGCACACGGCUUUAUCCGACCCGUCUUGAAACACGGACCAAGGAGUCUAACAUGUUCGCAAGUCACUGGGUGCUUGAAACCCGUGGGCGUAAUGAAAGUGAAGGCAAUCUAUUGCUUAGAUGAGAACCCCUGUGUCUGUGCAUGGGGAUGCAUCAUCGACCGACCUGUUCUACUCCUAGAAAGGUUUGAGUAAGAGCGUACCUGUUGGGACCCGAAAGAUGGUGAACUAUGCCUGAAUAGGGUGAAGCCAGCGGAAACACUGGUGGAAGCUCGUAGCGGUUCUGACGUGCAAAUCGAUCGUCGAAUUUGGGUAUAGCGGCGAAAGACUAAUCGAACCAUCUAGUAGCUGGUUCCCUCCGAAGUUUCCCACAGGAUAGCUGGGACGUUGGCAGU
rnacentral:rRNA from 1 species